rnacentral:rRNA from 1 species
AUGCAAGGAACCAAAUUAGAAGGAGCAAUUCCUGCUGAAGACCAUGCUGCGACGUACUUACAGGACCAUCUUCUACCACCGGCAAUUCAAAAUACAGAUUUUUUUGCAGGCAAUGCUAUCUUCUGUGAUGCUGCAUGGCGAAUACAACCAGAUGAUGGUACUAAACAUGCAGGAAUUGGAGUCUUCAUCCAGGUUCAGAACAAUCAGCAUAUCCAGCAAUUUCACAUCUCGGCAAUGUCCCCCCGGCUUCUUCUACCUAGGAAGCCGCCGCCGCCGGGCUCGGUGACCUGCACGCCCCAGUUGCCGCGGAGGUGUUUGGUGACGGCUGAUCACCUCGAGGAGUUCCGCAAAGCGCUUUCCCGCCUUCCAGCUCGAGGACGAGCUGUUUGUGUAGGCGGGGAGAAAUGUUAUGAGCGGCAUAUAUUACAGCCAGGCAGUUAG